rnacentral:rRNA from 1 species
ACUGAACGCUGGCGGCAUGCCUUACACAUGCAAGUCGAACGGCAGCACGGGUGCUUGCACCUGGUGGCGAGUGGCGAACGGGUGAGUAAUACAUCGGAACGUACCUUAUCGUGGGGGAUAACGCAGCGAAAGCUGUGCUAAUACCGCAUACGCCCUGAGGGGGAAAGCGGGGGAUCGAAAGACCUCGCGCGAUUAGAGCGGCCGAUGCCUGAUUAGCUUGUUGGUGGGGGAAAAGCCCACCAAGGCGACGAUCAGUAGCUGGUCUGAGAGGACGAUCAGCCACACUGGGACUGGGACACGGCCCAGACUCCUACGGGAGGCAGCAGUGGGGAAUUUUGGAAAAGGGGGGAAACCCUGAUCAAGCAAUGCCGCGUGAGUGAAGAAGGCCUUCGGGUUGUAAAGCUCUUUUGUCAGGGAAGAAACACCGGCUCUAACACAGUCCGGGAAUGACGGUACCUGAAGAAUAAGCACCGGCUAACUACGUGCCAGCCGCCGCCGUAA